CAUCCCUUCCGGUAAUCCCGCCGCAGCUGCUGCCGCCGCUAAUAACAACUCGGCCGUCCCAGCUGUGCCUGCUAUGGACCCAUCGGCACCUGGGGCCAACCAGGCAGGNAACCUUCCUGGGCGGCGGAGCUUCCGGCAGACCGUCUGUCGGCAUUGGCUCCGCAGCCUUUGCAUGAAGGGCGACGCCUGCGGCUUUCUACACCAAUACGACAAGUCGCGAAUGCCUGUUUGCCGCUUUUUUAGGCUUUACGGAGAGUGCCGGGAGCAGGACUGCGUGUACAAGCACACCAAUGAGGAUAUCAAGGAGUGCAAUAUGUACAAGUUAGGGUUUUGUCCAAAUGGUCCUGAC
rnacentral:misc_RNA from 1 species